rnacentral:rRNA from 1 species
AAAUUGAAGAGUUUGAUCAUGGCUCAGAUUGAACGCUGGCGGCAGGCCUAACACAUGCAAGUCGAACGGUAACAGAAAGCAGCUUGCUGCUUUGCUGACGAGUGGCGGACGGGUGAGUAAUGUCUGGGAAACUGCCUGAUGGAGGGGGAUAACUACUGGAAACGGUAGCUAAUACCGCAUAAUGUCGCAAGACCAAAGAGGGGGACCUUCGGGCCUCUUGCCAUCGGAUGUGCCCAGAUGGGAUUAGCUUGUUGGUGGGGUAACGGCUCACCAAGGCGACGAUCCCUAGCUGGUCUGAGAGGAUGACCAGCCACACUGGAACUGAGACACGGUCCAGACUCCUACGGGAGGCAGCAGUGGGGAAUAUUGCACAAUGGGCGCAAGCCUGAUGCAGCCAUGCCGCGUGUAUGAAGAAGGCCUUCGGGUUGUAAAGUACUUUCAGCGGGGAGGAAGGGAGUAAAGUUAAUACCUUUACUCAUUGACGUUACCCGCAGAAGAAGCACCGGCUAACUCCGUGCCAGCAGCCGCGGUAAUACGGAGGGUGCAAGCGUUAAUCGGAAUUACUGGGCGUAAAGCGCACGCAGGCGGUUUGUUAAGUCAGAUGUGAAAUCCCCGGGCUCAACCUGGGAACUGCAUCUGAUACUGGCAAGCUUGAGUCUCGUAGAGGGGGGUAGAAUUCCAGGUGUAGCGGUGAAAUGCGUAGAGAUCUGGAGGAAUACCGGUGGCGAAGGCGGCCCCCUGGACGAAGACUGACGCUCAGGUGCGAAAGCGUGGGGAGCAAACAGGAUUAGAUACCCUGGUAGUCCACGCCGUAAACGAUGUCGACUUGGAGGUUGUGCCCUUGAGGCGUGGCUUCCGGAGCUAACGCGUUAAGUCGACCGCCUGGGGAGUACGGCCGCAAGGUUAAAACUCAAAUGAAUUGACGGGGGCCCGCACAAGCGGUGGAGCAUGUGGUUUAAUUCGAUGCAACGCGAAGAACCUUACCUGGUCUUGACAUCCACGGAAGUUUUCAGAGAUGAGAAUGUGCCUUCGGGAACCGUGAGACAGGUGCUGCAUGGCUGUCGUCAGCUCGUGUUGUGAAAUGUUGGGUUAAGUCCCGCAACGAGCGCAACCCUUAUCCUUUGUUGCCAGCGGUCCGGCCGGGAACUCAAAGGAGACUGCCAGUGAUAAACUGGAGGAAGGUGGGGAUGACGUCAAGUCAUCAUGGCCCUUACGACCAGGGCUACACACGUGCUACAAUGGCGCAUACAAAGAGAAGCGACCUCGCGAGAGCAAGCGGACCUCAUAAAGUGCGUCGUAGUCCGGAUUGGAGUCUGCAACUCGACUCCAUGAAGUCGGAAUCGCUAGUAAUCGUGGAUCAGAAUGCCACGGUGAAUACGUUCCCGGGCCUUGUACACACCGCCCGUCACACCAUGGGAGUGGGUUGCAAAAGAAGUAGGUAGCUUAACCUUCGGGAGGGCGCUUACCACUUUGUGAUUCAUGACUGGGGUGAAGUCGUAACAAGGUAACCGUAGGGGAACCUGCGGUUGGAUCACCUCCUUACCUUAAAGAAGC